GGUUGUCCUUCUUUGACGCAAACUUAUUCCUUCACAGACACAUUCAUUCGAGAGCAAUCUUGACCAAUGUCCAAGCGUGGUAGCAGAUCACAGGUGCCGCAUCUUGACUUGCAGAAAUUCAAAAAGGGAACGUGGAAUCUGUGCGUUGGAGCCUCAUACUAUUUAGCCGAUGAAUCCACCAAUACUUCAGGAUGACAAAAUAACUCGCAAGUCAUACAGAGCAUUGAUCUCCUAUAUAUCUGGACUACGUGGCGUAACUACGAGCCUGAUAUUGUCUAAGAGUCAACUAGAAAAUUAUUCCCAAUUCCUCCGCCCCGC
rnacentral:sRNA from 1 species